CGGAGUUGUCUAUCUUCGUAAAAACAAAACUACAGGAGACAUGUAUGCAGUUAAAGAAUUUACUUGCUUACCAGGCGACACUGAGAUUAGGAGAAGUUUCGAGAAAGAAAUUCAGAUUCUGCAACGAGCAAAUCACGAACGGGUUGUACGAUACCGUGGGUAUGACGAAGAUGACAACAAGCUCUUCAUCUUCAUGGACUAUAUGUCAGGGGGAUCUCUAGAUGUCCACCUGAAGAUGAAUGAUUUUCGACUGAGAGGAUAUAAAAUCCAUCGUUACACGAG